AAUUCUCACAAGCUCUCUUUGCUUUGUAAUGAAGCAAUCUGAGCAGGUGGAUAUGGGCGUUUUGUUUGUGCAUUUACACUUUCGGGUGUUUUGCUGCGCAAUCGCCUGGAAUUCAUUUGCGUGCUGCAGUUCGGCUCUUUUGCCGGUCAAUCAAGUGCAACAGAUUUUUCUAUUCGCUUGUGAACGGUGAAUAUAGCAGUGCUGCUCGGUAUGCAGAAUACAAUUAUACCAGUUGUAGUUCUUUGGAGCUGCAUCUGUUUA
rnacentral:misc_RNA from 1 species